GACGAACGCUGGCGGCGUGCUUAACGCAUGCAAGUCGAACGGAAAGGCCCUGAUCUUGUGGGGUGCUCGAGUGGCGCAAGGGUGAGUAACACGUGAGUAACAUGCCCUUGACUUUGGGAUAACUUCAGGAAACAGGGGCUAAUACCGGAUAGGAGCUCCUGCUGCAUGGUGGGGGUUGGAAAGAUUCGGCGGUUGGGGAUGGACUCGCGGCUUACCAGCUUGUUGGUGGGGUAGUGGCUUACCAAGGCUUUGCCGGGUAGCCGGCCUGAGAGGGUGACCGGCCACAGUGGGACUGAGGUACGGCCCAGACUCCUACGGGAGGCAGCAGUGGGGAAUGGUGCACAAUGGGCGGAAGCCUGAUGCAGCAACGCCGCGUGCGGGAUGACGGCCUUCGGGUUGUAAACCGCUUUCGCCUGUGACGAAGCGUGAGUGACGGUAAUGGGUAAAGAAGCACCGGCUAACUACGUG
rnacentral:rRNA from 1 species